rnacentral:rRNA from 1 species
CGGCGUGGAUAAGACAUGCAAGUCGAACGGGGAGUAUUCAAGCUUGCUUUAAUACUUUCAGUGGCGAACGGGUGAGUAACACGUGAGUUACCUGCCCCGAAGUGGGGGACAGCCCGAGGAAACUCGGAUUAAUACCGCAUGUGCUCGAAAGAGUAAAGGUGGCGAAAGCUGCCGCUUUGGGAUGGGCUCGCGGCCUAUCAGCUAGUUGGUGAGGUAAUGGCUCACCAAGGCUAUGACGGGUAGCUGGUCUGAGAGGACGACCAGCCACACUGGAACUGAGACACGGUCCAGACACCUACGGGUGGCAGCAGUCGAGAAUCAUUCACAAUGGGCGAAAGCCUGAUGGUGCGACGCCGCGUGGAGGACGAAGG